rnacentral:rRNA from 1 species
CCCUAUGGGGUGCAGCAGGCGUAGAAAACUUUGCAAUGUGCGAAAGCACGACAAGGUUAAUCCGAGUGGUUUCUGCUAAAGGAACCUUUUGUUAGUCAUAGAACCACUAAUGAAUAAGGGGUGGGCAAGUUCUGGUGUCAGCCGCCGCGGUAAAACCAGCACCUCAAGUGGUCAGGAUGAUUAUUGGGCCUAAAGCAUCCGUAGCCUGCUUUGCCAGUUUUCGGUUAAAUCCAUACGCUUAACGUAUGGGCUGCCGGGAAUACUACAAAGCUAGGGAGUGGGAGAGGUAGACGGUACUCGGUAGGAAGGGGUAAAAUCCUUUGAUCUAUUGAUGACCACCUGUGGCGAAGGCGGUCUACCAGAACACGUCCGACGGUGAGGGAUGAAAGCUGGGGGAGCAAACCGGAUUAGAUACCCGGGUAGUCCCAGCUGUAAACUAUGCAAACUAGGUGAUGCAUUGGCUUGAUGCCAAUGCAGUGCCUCAGGGAAGCCGUUAAGUUUGCCGCCUGGGAAGUACGUACGCAAGUAUGAAACUUAAAGGAAUUGGCGGGGGAGCACCACAAGGGGUGAAGCCUGCGGUUCAAUUGGAGUCAACGCCAGAAUCUUACCCGGAGAGACAGCAGAUGAAGUCAGCUGAGACUUUACCAGACAGCUGAGAGAGGUGCAUGGCCAGGCGAU